rnacentral:rRNA from 1 species
UCAAAAGAAGGGCCUCGAGGUUCACUCCCAACCCCUGUGACAUACCUAUACGUUGCCUCGGCGGAUCAGCCCGCGCCCCGUAAAAAGGGACGGCCCGCCCGAGGACCCCUAAACUCUGUUUUUAGUGGAACUUCUGAGUAAAACAAACAAAUAAAUCAAAACUUUCAACAACGGAUCUCUUGGUUCUGGCAUCGAUGAAGAACGCAGCAAAAUGCGAUAAGUAAUGUGAAUUGCAGAAUUCAGUGAAUCAUCGAAUCUUUGAACGCACAUUGCGCCCGCCAGUAUUCUGGCGGGCAUGCCUGUUCGAGCGUCAUUUCAACCCUCAAGCUCAGCUUGGUGUUGGGACUCGCGGUAACCCGCGUUCCCCAAAUCGAUUGGCGGUCACGUCGAGCUUCCAUAGCGUAGUAAUCAUACACCUCGUUACUGGUAAUCGUCGCGGCCACGCCGUAAAACCCCAACUUCUGAAUGUUGACCUCGGAUCAGGUAGGAAUACCCGCUGAACUUAAGCAUAUCAAUAAGCGGAGGA